rnacentral:rRNA from 1 species
UUCGGGACGAGUAAAGUGGCGCACGGGUCAGUAACGCGUGGAUAAUCUACCCUUAAGAUGGGGAUAACGGCUGGAAACGGUCGCUAAUACCGAAUACGCUCCCGAUUUUAUCAUUGGGGGGAAAGAUGGCCUCUGCUUGCAAGCUAUCGCUUAAGGAUGAGUCCGCGUCCCAUUAGCUAGUUGGUGGGGUAACGGCCCACCAAGGCAACGAUGGGUAGCCGGUCUGAGAGGAUGACCGGCCACACUGGAACUGGAACACGGUCCAGACUCCUACGGGAGGCAGCAGUGGGGAAUAUUGCGCAAUGGGCGAAAGCCUGACGCAGCGACGCCGCGUGAGGGAUGAAGGUUCUCGGAUCGUAAACCUCUGUCAGGGGGGAAGAAACCCCCUCGUGUGAAUAAUGCGAGGGCUUGACGGUACCCCCAAAGGAAGCACCGGCUAACUCCGUGCCAGCAGCCGCGGUAAUACGGAGGGUGCAAGCGUUAAUCGGAAUCACUGGGCGUAAAGCGCACGUAGGCGGCCUGGUAAGUCAGGGGUGAAAUCCCACAGCCCAACUGUGGAACUGCCUUUGAUACUGCCAGGCUUGAGUACCGGAGAGGGUGGCGGAAUUC